rnacentral:rRNA from 1 species
AGGCCCUACGGGACGCAGCAGUAGGGAAUCUUCCACAAUGGGCGAAAGCCUGAUGGAGCAACGCCGCGUGGGUGAAGAAGGUCUUCGGAUCGUAAACCUCUUUCAGCAGGGAAGACAAAAGGACGGUACCUGCAGAAGAAGCCACGGCUGACUACGUGCCAGCAGCCGCGGUAAUACGUAGGUGGCAAGCGUUAUCCGGAAUUACUGGGUGUAAAGGGUGUGUAGGCGGG